rnacentral:lncRNA from 1 species
UUUUUGUGAUACUGAUAUGCAAUCAUAGCCACUCGUUUUGAAUAUAAAAAAAGAGUAAAAAGAAGAAUUACAUUAUUGAAAAAUAAGGAUAAAUAAAAGGAAAGUAUGUUUUCUAUUGAUUUUAUCAAUAUUUAAAAAAAACCAAAAAAAACCUUUGUGAAAAAAAUGUAGCAUCACAUGCAAAAUUCCAACUAAUUUUUUUUAUCAUGGUGAAGUUUUUUUUUCAAUAAUUGUAUUAGUAGUAUAUUAUUAUAAUACAACGACGUGGUUGCAUCGUGGUGAUUAUACAUGACCACACCGUACUGAUAUUUUCUAUUGAUUUUAUCAAUAUUUAAAAAAAACCAAAAAAAACCUUUGUGAAAAAAAUGUAGCAUCACAUGCAAAAUUCCAACUAAUUUUUUUUAUCAUGGUGAAGUUUUUUUUUC